GCCCUGGUUGAUUAAUGGAAAUCACCCACACCUCUUACGCAAUGUUGAUGCAUUGAUAUGGGAGACGGAGGUUCGAAUCCUCCCCGGGGCA